rnacentral:rRNA from 1 species
AUGGGCAGCCACGCGGGUGGCACGGAGACGGCGGAGGAGAGGACGCGGGUGUGCGACCUCCCGGAGGCGUGCGUGGCGCACGUGAUCGCGCUCACCUCCCCGCGGGACGCCUGCCGCUGCGCCGCCGUCUCGCCCUGCUUCCGCGACGCCGCCGGCUCCGACGUCGUCUGGGCGCGCUUCCUCCCGCCGGACUACCUCCAGCUGCACCAGGCGCCGGCCCGGCGAUUCCCGCUCUCGCGCUCCGCCUCCACGGCCUCGGCGGGGGCGGCGGCGUCGACCAAGAAGGAGACCUACCUCGGGCUCACCGACGCGGCCGUGCUGGUGGACGGCGGCGGCAUGGCCGUGUGGCUGGCCAAGGAGAGCGGCGCCAAGUGCGUGGCGAUCUCGGCGAGGAGGCUCAGCCUGCCGUGGGACGACGGCGAGUUCAGCUGGACGUGGACGCCCCACCCGCUCUCCAGGUUCGCGGAUGUGGCCCAGCUGGUGGACUGCACGUGCUUCGACAUCUACGGCCGACUCCCGACCGCCGCGCUCACGCCGGCCACCGCCUACACAGCGUACCUCGUCUUCACCACCGAAGACACCCACCGUGGCCUGAGCUUUCCGGACCAGGAGACCACCGUCAGCGUGGGCGGCAGCGCUCCGUCGCGCCAUGCCGUGUGCCUCCGCCCCGACCCCACUGAUGCGCGUAGGUUCAGAGACAGCAAAGGUACGGGCGACGUCCACGUAAGGGGGCCGGUGCUGCGCGGCGAUGGAUGGUGGGAGGUGGAGAUGGGGCGGUUGCGCACCCGCGACGAGGCAGUGGUGGGGGAGGAGGUGGCGGUGAGCUUCGAGAUACUGGGGUGGUACCCCAAGCGCGGGCUCAUCGUGGAAGGCAUCGAGUUCAGGCCCAUCUGA